rnacentral:rRNA from 1 species
GAUGAACGCUGGCGGCGUGCUUAACACAUGCAAGUCGAACGGAAAGGCUCCUGCUUGCAGGGGUACUCGAGUGGCGAACGGGUGAGUAACACGUGGGUGAUCUGCCCUGCACUUCGGGAUAAGCCUGGGAAACUGGGUCUAAUACCGGAUAGGACGAUGGUUUGGAUGCCAUUGUGGAAAGUUUUUCGGUGUGGGAUGAGCUCGCGGCCUAUCAGCUUGUUGGUGGGGUAAUGGCCUACCAAGGCGUCGACGGGUAGCCGGCCUGAGAGGGUGUACGGCCACAUUGGGACUGAGAUACGGCCCAGACUCCUACGGGAGGCAGCAGUGGGGAAUAUUGCACAAUGGGCGCAAGCCUGAUGCAGCGACGCCGCGUGGGGGAUGACGGCCUUCGGGUUGUAAACUCCUUUCGCUAGGGACGAAGCGCAAGUGACGGUACCUGGAGAAGAAGCAUCGGCUAACUACGUG